GAGGGCCAUCAUCCCUGACAGGGUCCUUU
rnacentral:piRNA from 1 species